rnacentral:lncRNA from 1 species
GUUCAGAUAUACCUAAAAUGGAAUUUGCGCUUUUUUGACUUUUGGAAUGAGUCAUAGCAUGAGUCUAAGUCAAUUAUGAAGAAAAUGUACGUGACAGACAAGAGCAGCCCAUGAAUCAAGGAAACGUCUCCUCUGAGCCACUCUCCUCUGAGACGAACACAGAAUCCUGGCUUGUGAAAAUGGCUAUGACGAGGCACUGUUUAUGCAUUUAGCCGUGGUUUUCACCUCGAGCUGUUCACUGCAGCCACUGGGGCAUCUUUUAAAAACUAUUGUUGCUGGGGUUCCGACUCAGACCAGUUGAGUUGGAACAACCAGGGCUGGGACACAAGCAUUACAUUUUAAAAGCUCCCCAGGUGACUCUAAUGGUUAGCCAGGGCUGAGAACCCCAGAUAAAGUGCUCGAUCAGAGCAAGGUACUCUGUAUAAUUGAACAUUUCUUGUCAUGGCCAACUGUGGAGGAAAACGGAGAUGGGGAGUACUUCUGUUUCCUCUUCAAGCUUCCAGAUCUCUCUUUAAGUAAUUCAUUUUAAAAUGUGAACUUGGAGAACUAAGCAAGAAGAUAGUUUCAUCUUACAGCACCAGAAAAUCUGAACAUCAGGAAUUCUUUAGGUUGCCUAUUACUAUGUGAUGUGGUCAAGUGGGGCAUUACAAUUCCGGGUUAUCAGGCCUUGUAAAUGGGACCAGUCGACAGAGGGAUGCUGAGAACUAAGCAAUGGACACCUGGACUCAGAGCAAAUGCAGGCCAAAAAGAAAAUGUGUUGGUUAGGGAAAGGCUGAUGAAUGUGUCAGGAAGGGAGGCUCAGGCGUUUAAAGAUCACGCGGCAACCGCUGGCAUGGGCACAGUAAAUCACUUUGGGGCCAGGGCCUGUGGUUCAUUCCUGCUAGGCCCUGGAGGCGGGUACCAGUUACAGUGCUGCCCAAUUCCAAAUAUGCUGCGUCCAAUCUUCCCACCCCUUGCCACAGUUCUGCAGGAGGUCAGGCCGACAAGACGCCAUUUCUGGGUCCUCGAGAUCAGAUCCCCUUUCUCCCUUUUUUUGAUCUGGCAGAAGGUGAAGAGACGGAUGCUCAGGAUAUUGCUGCUCAGGUGUGUUACAUUUGUGGUCGUAUUGGGUGUUCUCCCGAACAUCGGUGCCUGCACGAGCCAUAGAGUCACAUCCUCAACGAUGGCCGAGCCUCCUUCCUGACUCUGAUUGGACUCUUGAGGCCUCUUAAACCACUUGAUGGCCUGAAAAUUCACUAAAUAUGAAGCCCAGGCAACGAAAUUGCAAAGUGUACUUUACCUAAAAAUAAUUCAUG